AUUCUACUCCCUCUGUUGCACAAUACAUGCCUUCUAUUUGUCAAAAUAUAUAUGUAUCUAGACAUGUCUUAGUAUAUAGGUACAUCCAUUUUUGGACAAAUGGAAGUCAAGUAUUUUGGGACGGAGGGAGUACACA
rnacentral:pre_miRNA from 1 species